rnacentral:rRNA from 1 species
UACGUAGGGUGCGAGCGUUUAAUCGGAAUUACUGGGCGUAAAGCGUGCGCAGGCGGUGAUGUAAGACAGGUGUGAAAUCCCCGGGCUUAACCUGGGAACUGCAUUUGUGACUGCAUCGCUGGAGUACGGCAGAGGGGGAUGGAAUUCCGCGUGUAGCAGUGAAAUGCGUAGAUAUGCGGAGGAACACCGAUGGCGAAGGCAAUCCCCUGGGCCUGUACUGACGCUCAUGCACGAAAGCGUGGGGAGCAAACAGG